AGUGAGGUGCCUGAAAAAGGAUAACUUUGAUAGAGUUAAAUAUGUAGGACAUUCCCACCCCCACUA
rnacentral:tRNA from 1 species